rnacentral:tRNA from 1 species
GGGAUUAUAGCUCAGCAGGCUAGAGCGUUACGUUGACAUCGUAAAGGUCGUUGGUUCGAGCCCAAUUAAUCCCACCA